AUGCAACGGAGGUUCUUGGAUGCUAUGGCAAUAGUGCAGCGGUGGGGUAAACCAGAUUAUUUUAUCACGAUGACGUGCAACCCAUAUUGGGAGGAGAUAAUCGAUAAGUUGUUGCCUGGACAACUACCGCAGGACCGUCCAGACCUGGUGGCAAGAGUAUACAAGGCUAAACAGCGAGAUAUGAUGGCCUUACUAACUGAGGGUAAGCAUUUCUAA
rnacentral:rRNA from 1 species